rnacentral:rRNA from 1 species
UACGGAAGGGGGCUAGCGUUGCUCGGAAUCACUGGGCGUAAAGGGUGCGUAGGCGGGUUUUUAAGUCAGGGGUGAAAUCCUGGAGCUCAACUCCAGAACUGCCUUUGAUACUGAAGAUCUUGAGUCCGGGAGAGGUGAGUGGAACUGCGAGUGUAGAGGUGAAAUUCGUAGAUAUUCGCAAGAACACCAGUGGCGAAGGCGGCUCACUGGCCCGGUACUGACGCUGAGGUGCGAAAGCGUGGGGAGCAAACAGGG